GAUGAAGAACGCAGCGAAAUGCGAUAAGUAAUGUGAAUUGCAGAAUUCAGUGAAUCAUCGAAUCUUUGAACGCACAUUGCGCCCGCCAGCAUUCUGGCGGGCAUGCCUGUUCGAGCGUCAUUUCAACCCUCGAGCCCCCCCGGGGGCCUCGGUGUUGGGGGACGGCACACCAGCCGCCCCCGAAAUGCAGUGGCGACCCCGCCGCAGCCUCCCCUGCGUAGUAGCACACACCUCGCACCGGAGCGCGGAGGCGGUCACGCCGUAAAACGCCCAACUUUCUUAGAGUUGACCUCGGAUCAGGUAGGAAUACCCGCUGAACUUAAGCAGAUCAAUAAGCGGAGGA
rnacentral:misc_RNA from 1 species